GAUGAACGCUAGCGGCAGGCUUAACACAUGCAAGUCGAGGGGUAGAGGUUGCUUGCAACCUUGAGACCGGCGCACGGGUGCGUAACGCGUAUGCAACCUACCUUUUACAGAGGGAUAGCCCAGAGAAAUUUGGAUUAAUACCUCAUAGUAUAUAACCUUCGCAUGUUGGUUAUAUUAAAGUUCCAACGGUAAAAGAUGGGCAUGCGUCCUAUUAGCUAGAUGGUAAGGUAACGGCUUACCAUGGCAACGAUAGGUAGGGGUCCUGAGAGGGAGAGCCCCCACACUGGUACAGAGACACGGACCAGACUCCUACGGGAGGCAGCAGUGAGGAAUAUUGGACGAUGGGCGCAAGCCUGAUCCAGCCAUGCCGCGUGCAGGAAGAAGCAUCUAUGGUGUGUAAACUGCUUUUGUACAGGAAGAAACACCCCGACGUGUCGGGACUUGACGGUACUGUAAGAAUAAGGAUCGGCUAACUCCGUGCCAGCCGCCGCCGUAACAC
rnacentral:rRNA from 1 species